rnacentral:rRNA from 1 species
GUGCCAGCCGCCGCGGUAAUACGGAGGGUGCAAGCGUUAAUCGGAAUUACUGGGCGUAAAGGGCGCGUAGGCGGCUUGCCAAGCCGGAUGUGAAAGCCCCGGGCUCAACCCGGGAACGGCAUUCGGAACUGGUAGGCUAGAGUGCAGGAGAGGAAGGUGGAAUUCCCGGUGUAGCGGUGAAAUGCGUAGAGAUCGGGAGGAAUACCAGUGGCGAAGGCGGCCUUCUGGACUGACACUGACGCUGAGGCGCGAAAGCGUGGGUAGCAAACAGGAUUAGAUACCCUGGUAGUCC